rnacentral:rRNA from 1 species
GGGUUGUGAGGUUAAGCGACUAAGCGUACACGGUGGAUGCCCUGGCAGUCAGAGGCGAUGAAGGACGUGCUAAUCUGCGAUAAGCGUCGGUAAGGUGAUAUGAACCGUUAUAACCGGCGAUUUCCGAAUGGGGAAACCCAGUGUGAUUCGUCACACUAUCAUUAACUGAAUCCAUAGGUUAAUGAGGCGAACCGGGGGAACUGAAACAUCUAAGUACCCCGAGGAAAAGAAAUCAACCGAGAUUCCCCCAGUAGCGGCGAGCGAACGGGGAGCAGCCCAGAGCCUGAAUCAGUGUGUGUGUUAGUGGAAGCGUCUGGAAAGGCGCGCGAUACAGGGUGACAGCCCCGUACACAAAAAUGCACAUAUUGUGAGCUCGAUGAGUAGGGCGGGACACGUGGUAUCCUGUCUGAAUAUGGGGGGACCAUCCUCCAAGGCUAAAUACUCCUGACUGACCGAUAGUGAACCAGUACCGUGAGGGAAAGGCGAAAAGAACCCCGGCGAGGGGAGUGAAAAAGAACCUGAAACCGUGUACGUACAAGCAGUGGGAGCACGCUUCGGCGUGUGACUGCGUACCUUUUGUAUAAUGGGUCAGCGACUUAUAUUCUGUAGCAAGGUUAACCGAAUAGGGGAGCCGAAGGGAAACCGAGUCUUAACUGGGCGUUAAGUUGCAGGGUAUAGACCCGAAACCCGGUGAUCUAGCCAUGGGCAGGUUGAAGGUUGGGUAACACUAACUGGAGGACCGAACCGACUAAUGUUGAAAAAUUAGCGGAUGACUUGUGGCUGGGGGUGAAAGGCCAAUCAAACCGGGAGAUAGCUGGUUCUCCCCGAAAGCUAUUUAGGUAGCGCCUCGUGAAUUCAUCUCCGGGGGUAGAGCACUGUUUCGGCAAGGGGGUCAUCCCGACUUACCAACCCGAUGCAAACUGCGAAUACCGGAGAAUGUUAUCACGGGAGACACACGGCGGGUGCUAACGUCCGUCGUGAAGAGGGAAACAACCCAGACCGCCAGCUAAGGUCCCAAAGUCAUGGUUAAGUGGGAAACGAUGUGGGAAGGCCCAGACAGCCAGGAUGUUGGCUUAGAAGCAGCCAUCAUUUAAAGAAAGCGUAAUAGCUCACUGGUCGAGUCGGCCUGCGCGGAAGAUGUAACGGGGCUAAACCAUGCACCGAAGCUGCGGCAGCGACGCUGAUGCGUUGUUGGGUAGGGGAGCGUUCUGUAAGCCUGCGAAGGUGUGCUGUGAGGCAUGCUGGAGGUAUCAGAAGUGCGAAUGCUGACAUAAGUAACGAUAAAGCGGGUGAAAAGCCCGCUCGCCGGAAGACCAAGGGUUCCUGUCCAACGUUAAUCGGGGCAGGGUGAGUCGACCCCUAAGGCGAGGCCGAAAGGCGUAGUCGAUGGGAAACAGGUUAAUAUUCCUGUACUUGGUGUUACUGCGAAGGGGGGACGGAGAAGGCUAUGUUGGCCGGGCGACGGUUGUCCCGGUUUAAGCGUGUAGGCUGGUUUUCCAGGCAAAUCCGGAAAAUCAAGGCUGAGGCGUGAUGACGAGGCACUACGGUGCUGAAGCAACAAAUGCCCUGCUUCCAGGAAAAGCCUCUAAGCAUCAGGUAACAUCAAAUCGUACCCCAAACCGACACAGGUGGUCAGGUAGAGAAUACCAAGGCGCUUGAGAGAACUCGGGUGAAGGAACUAGGCAAAAUGGUGCCGUAACUUCGGGAGAAGGCACGCUGAUAUGUAGGUGAAGUCCCUUGCGGAUGGAGCUGAAAUCAGUCGAAGAUACCAGCUGGCUGCAACUGUUUAUUAAAAACACAGCACUGUGCAAACACGAAAGUGGACGUAUACGGUGUGACGCCUGCCCGGUGCCGGAAGGUUAAUUGAUGGGGUCAGCGCAAGCGAAGCUCUUGAUCGAAGCCCCGGUAAACGGCGGCCGUAACUAUAACGGUCCUAAGGUAGCGAAAUUCCUUGUCGGGUAAGUUCCGACCUGCACGAAUGGCGUAAUGAUGGCCAGGCUGUCUCCACCCGAGACUCAGUGAAAUUGAACUCGCUGUGAAGAUGCAGUGUACCCGCGGCAAGACGGAAAGACCCCGUGAACCUUUACUAUAGCUUGACACUGAACAUUGAGCCUUGAUGUGUAGGAUAGGUGGGAGGCUUUGAAGUGUGGACGCCAGUCUGCAUGGAGCCGACCUUGAAAUACCACCCUUUAAUGUUUGAUGUUCUAACGUUGACCCGUAAUCCGGGUUGCGGACAGUGUCUGGUGGGUAGUUUGACUGGGGCGGUCUCCUCCUAAAGAGUAACGGAGGAGCACGAAGGUUGGCUAAUCCUGGUCGGACAUCAGGAGGUUAGUGCAAUGGCAUAAGCCAGCUUGACUGCGAGCGUGACGGCGCGAGCAGGUGCGAAAGCAGGUCAUAGUGAUCCGGUGGUUCUGAAUGGAAGGGCCAUCGCUCAACGGAUAAAAGGUACUCCGGGGAUAACAGGCUGAUACCGCCCAAGAGUUCAUAUCGACGGCGGUGUUUGGCACCUCGAUGUCGGCUCAUCACAUCCUGGGGCUGAAGUAGGUCCCAAGGGUAUGGCUGUUCGCCAUUUAAAGUGGUACGCGAGCUGGGUUUAGAACGUCGUGAGACAGUUCGGUCCCUAUCUGCCGUGGGCGCUGGAGAACUGAGGGGGGCUGCUCCUAGUACGAGAGGACCGGAGUGGACGCAUCACUGGUGUUCGGGUUGUCAUGCCAAUGGCACUGCCCGGUAGCUAAAUGCGGAAGAGAUAAGUGCUGAAAGCAUCUAAGCACGAAACUUGCCCCGAGAUGAGUUCUCCCUGACCCUUUAAGGGUCCUGAAGGAACGUUGAAGACGACGACGUUGAUAGGCCGGGUGUGUAAGCGCAGCGAUGCGUUGAGCUAACCGGUACUAAUGAACCGUGAGGCUUAACCUUACAACGCCGAAGCUGUU